AUUGAACGCUGGCGGCAGGCUUAACACAUGCAAGUCGAGCGGGGGAAGGUAGCUUGCUACCGGACCUAGCGGCGGACGGGUGAGUAAUGCUUAGGAAUCUGCCUAUUAGUGGGGGACAACAUCUCGAAAGGGAUGCUAAUACCGCAUACGUCCUACGGGAGAAAGCAGGGGAUCUUCGGACCUUGCGCUAAUAGAUGAGCCUAAGUCGGAUUAGCUAGUUGGUGGGGUAAAGGCCUACCAAGGCGACGAUCUGUAGCGGGUCUGAGAGGAUGAUCCGCCACACGGGGACUGAGACACGGCCCAGACUCCUACGGGAGGCAGCAGUGGGGAAUAUUGGACAAUGGGGGGAACCCUGAUCUAGCCAUGCCGGGUGUGUGAAGAAGGCCUUAUGGUUGUAAAGCACUUUAAGCGAGGAGGAGGCUACUCUAGUUAAUACCUAGGGAUAGUGGACGUUACUCGCAGAAUAAGCACCGGCUAACUCUGUGCCAGCAGCCGCAGUAA
rnacentral:rRNA from 1 species